rnacentral:rRNA from 1 species
UACGUAGGGGGCAAGCGUUGUCCGGAUUUAUUGGGCGUAAAGAGCGUGUAGGCGGUCAGGUAGGUCCGUUGUGAAAACUCGAGGCUCAACCUCGAGACGCCGAUGGAAACCAUCUGACUAGAGUCCGGAAGAGGAGAGUGGAAUUCCUGGUGUAGCGGUGAAAUGCGCAGAUAUCAGGAGGAACACCGGUGGCGAAGGCGGAUCUCUGGGCCUGUUCUGACGCUGAGGCGCGAAAGCUAGGGGAGCGAACAGG